CGUUGGAGAUUACGACGUUGAUAGGAUACAGGUGUAAAGGCAGUAAUGUCAUAGCCGAGUAUUACUAAUAACCCAUAGGCUUAUGUAC
rnacentral:rRNA from 1 species